rnacentral:rRNA from 1 species
CCUACGGGCGGCAGCAGUGAGGAAUAUUGGUCAAUGGGCGUAAGCCUGAACCAGCCAAGUCGCGUGAGGGAUGAAGGUUCUAUGGAUCGUAAACCUCUUUUAUAAGGGAAUAAAGUGUGGGACGUGUCCUGUUUUGUAUGUACCUUAUGAAUAAGGAUCGGCUAACUCCGUGCCAGCAGCCGCGGUAAUACGGAGGAUCCGAGCGUUAUACGGAUUUAUUGGGUUUAAAGGGUGCGUAGGCGGCAUGUUAAGUCAGCGGUGAAAGUCUGUGGCUCAACCAUAGAAUUGCCGUUGAAACUGGGAGGCUUGAGUAUGUUUGAGGCAGGCGGAAUGCGUGGUGUAGCGGUGAAAUGCUUAGAUAUCACGCAGAACCCCGGUUGCGAAGGCAGCCUGUCAGGCCAUGACUGACGCUGAUGCACGAAAGCGUGGGGAUCAAACAGGAUUAGAUACCCGUGUAGUC